rnacentral:rRNA from 1 species
GGCGAACGGGUGAGUAACACGUGAGUAAUCUGCCCUCGGCACCGGGAUAGCCCGGGGAAACCCGGAUUAAUACUGGAUAGCCUUUCGAGCCUUCGGGCUCGUCAGAAAAGGUGGCUUCGGCUUCCGGCUGAGGAGGAGCUCGCGGCGGAUUAGCUUGUUGGCGGGGUAAUGGCCCACCAAGGCGACGAUCCGUAGCUGGUCUGAGAGGACGAUCAGCCACACUGGGACUGAGACACGGCCCAGACUCCUACGGGAGGCAGCAGUGGGGAAUCUUGCGCAAUGGGCGAAAGCCUGACGCAGCGACGCCGCGUGCGGGAAGAAGGCCUUCGGGUUGUAAACCGCUUUCAGGAGGGACGAAGCCACUCGGGUUAAUAGCCCAGAGGGUGACGGUACCUCCAGAAGAAGCCCCGGCUAACUACGUGCCAGCAGCCGCGGUAAUACGUAGGGGGCAAGCGUUGUCCGGAUUUAUUGGGCGUAAAGAGCGUGUAGGCGGCCAGGUAGGUCAGCUGUGAAAACUCGAGGCUCAACCUCGAGCUGUCGGCUGAAACCAUCUGGCUAGAGUCCGGAAGAGGAGAAUGGAAUUCCCGGUGUAGCGGUGAAAUGCGCAGAUAUCGGGAAGAACACCCGUGGCGAAGGCGGUUCUCUGGGACGGUACUGACGCUGAGACGCGAAAGCGUGGGGAGCGAACAGGAUUAGAUACCCUGGUAGUCC